UUUGUCUUUAGUUUCUACUCUUUCUGUUUUUUCUCACAUGGUAUUUUUGUUCUUCUUUUUCAGAAACUUGUGCUCUGUUCCCACGCUCCACGUCUAUAUUAAUGUCUCUCUUACUGAGCAGAGCUGAGCAGUCAAGAUGAAGCUAAGAUCAAGAGCUAACAUUGUCCAAAUGGAUAUCAGAUGCCAACUGUACUUCUUUGAGUCACAGAGAACCAUCUGGUCAUCUGGGUUUGAUGUCAUGAUGUGCUGUGAUAUUAUUAGACUGCUUAGCUUGAUGCAUGAGAAGGAUACAGAUUUAAGCAACAGGCAAAGGAGAAUUAUGUAUUUGAAGAAUAACAUGUUUUUAAGCUGCAAGAAGCAAAUCACCUAG
rnacentral:lncRNA from 1 species